GACGAACGCUGGCGGCGUGCUUAACACAUGCAAGUCGAACGGAAAGGCCCUGAUUUUGUGGGGUGCUCGAGUGGCGAACGGGUGAGUAACACGUGAGUAACCUGCCCUUGACUUUGGGAUAACUUUAGGAAACUGGGGCUAAUACAGGAUAGGAGCUCCUGCUGCAUGGUGGGGGUUGGAAAGUUUCGGCGGUUGGGGCUGGACUCGCGGCUUAUCAGCUUGUUGGUGGGGUAGUGGCUUACCAAGGCUUUGACGGGUAGCCGGCCUGUGAGGGUGACCGGCCACAUUGGGACUGAGAUACGGCCCAGACUCCUACGGGAGGCAGCAGUGGGGAAUAUUACACAAUGGGCGGAAGCCUGAGGCAGCAACGCCGCGUGCGGGAUGACCGCCUUCGGGUUAUAAACCGCUUUCUCCUGUGACGAAGCGUGAGUGACGGUAAUGAGUAAGAAAGCACCGGCUAACUACGUG
rnacentral:rRNA from 1 species